AUGUCGUCGUCGUAGUCGUGUUCCGAGGAGGCCGCGAUCUCGUCCGAGGAGAAGGUUAUCUCGUCGGAAGAGAGCGUGGUCUCGUCGGAGGAGGCCCCUGUUUCGUCGGAGGAGGCCCCUGUUUCGUCGGAGGACGCCGGAGCCAUCGGCGGCGGCGGCGGGUGAGAGCGAUUUGGGAGACGAGACGCCCGCCCCCCGGCGUGGGGUUUGCCGUUCUGGAUUCGUCGAUAAUAUGUGUCUGGACUCUGGUGACAUGAUCCGUUCGGAAAUGGCUCAGUUGGGCCAUAGCCCCAUGUUCGUCUUUCUUAAGUAGUCAGGCCCAAAAGGCCAUACAAACUUAUGGUCCUACACAGUCCUUUUGAAAUUCUUCUAAUAAAAGAAUUUCUUUUGAAAUUCAAAAAAUUAUCACAGCACAGAGAUUACAGUAGAAAACACUUACAAAUAUAUUUAGAAAUGAUC
rnacentral:lncRNA from 1 species